GGAGGGUGCAAGCGUUAAUCGGAAUUACUGGGCGUAAAGCGCAUGCAGGUGGUUUGUUAAGUCAGAUGUGAAAGCCCUGGGCUCAACCUAGGAAUCGCAUUUGAAACUGACAAGCUAGAGUACUGUAGAGGGGGGUAGAAUUUCAGGUGUAGCGGUGAAAUGCGUAGAGAUCUGAAGGAAUACCGGUGGCGAAGGCGGCCCCCUGGACAGAUACUGACACUCAGAUGCGAAAGCGUGGGGAGCAAAC
rnacentral:rRNA from 1 species